ensembl:snRNA U2 U2 spliceosomal RNA
UAAGUUUCUCAGCCUCUGGCUAAGAUCAAAUGUAGUAUAUGUUCUUAUCAGUUUAGUAUCUCUAUGUCCUCUAUUUGAAAAGGACAUCUAGGUGGCACAGGGGGAAAAGUGCUGGGCUUGGAGUCAGGAAGAUUUCAUCUUCCCGAGCUCAAAUUUGGUCUCAGACAUUUAUUAGCUGUGUGACUCUAGGCAAGUCAC